AUUGAACGCUGGCGGCAUGCCUUACACAUGCAAGUCGAACGGCAGCACGGGAGCAAUCCUGGUGGCGAGUGGCGAACGGGUGAGUAAUACAUCGGAACGUGCCCAAUCGUGGGGGAUAACUACGCGAAAGCGUAGCUAAUACCGCAUACGAUCUACGGAUGAAAGCAGGGGAUCGCAAGACCUUGCGCGAAUGGAGCGGCCGAUGGCAGAUAGGUAGUUGGUGAGGUAAAGGCUCACCAAGCCUUCGAUCUGUAGCUGGUCUGAGAGGACGACCAGCCACACUGGGACUGAGACACGGCCCAGACUCCUACGGGAGGCAGCAGUGGGAAUUUUGGACAAUGGGCGCAAGCCUGAUCCAGCCAUGCCGCGUGC
rnacentral:rRNA from 1 species